rnacentral:tRNA from 1 species
GGCUCGUCGGUCUAGGGGUAUGAUUCUCGCUUUGGGUGCAAGAGGUCUCGGGUUCAAAUCCCGGACGAGCCC